rnacentral:rRNA from 1 species
GACGAACGCUGGCGGCGUGCUUAACACAUGCAAGUCGAACGGAAAGGCCCUGCUUUUGUGGGGUGCUCGAGUGGCGAACGGGUGAGUAACACGUGAGUAACCUGCCCUUGACUUUGGGAUAACUUCAGGAAACUGGGGCUCAUACCGGAUAGGAGCUCCUGCUGCAUGGUGGGGGUUGGAAAGUUUCGGCGGUUGGGGAUGGACUCGCGGCUUAUCAGCUUGUUGGUGGGGUAGUGGCUUACCAAGGCUUUGACGGGUAGCCGGCCUGAGAGGGUGACCGGCCACCUUGGUACUGAGAUACGGCCCAGAAUCCUACGGGAGGCAGCAGUGGGGAAUAUUGCAGAAUGGGCGGAAGCCUGAUGCAGCAACGCCGCGUGCGGGAUGACGGCCUUCGGGGUGUAAACCGCUUUCGCCUGUGACGAAGCGUGAGUGACGGUAAUGGGUAAAGAAGCACCGGCUAACUACGUG